ACUGCCAUACCAUCCGGAACCGCCAGUACUAUUUGGUUAUGGAAGCUAAGCAGGGUUAAUCCUGGUUAGUAGUUGGAUGAGAGACCACAAGAAAGUACCAGGGACCUCAAGGUA
rnacentral:rRNA from 1 species